rnacentral:rRNA from 1 species
UACGUAGGGUGCGAGCGUUAAUCGGAAUUAUUGGGAGUAAAGUGUGCGUAGGCGGUUUUGUAAGUGAGAUGUGAAAUCCCCGGGCUCAACCUGGGAAUGGCAUUUGGGACUGCAAGGCUCGAGUUUGGCAGAGGAGACUGGAAUUCCUGGUGUAGCGGUGGAAUGCGCAGAUAUCAGGAGGAACACCAAUAGCGAAGGCAGCUCGCUGGGACGUUACUGACACUGAGGCGCGAAAGCGUGGGGAGCGAACAGG